UAUUAUUCUCGGGGCGGGGUGAGAAUCCCCACCGGUGGUAAAGUCCACGACUCGGGCGUAAAUGCCCGACUGAUGCGGUGAAACUCCGCAACCGACGGUAACGCGCUUUUAGGCGUGAAGUCCGGAUGAGAGAGAAUGCCG
rnacentral:ncRNA from 2 species